CCCACUUGGUUGCUGUUAUAAGCUCGGCAAGGUCAGGACCUUCGACAGUGCCAUGAAGAUGCCAGGUUAGGAUAGAAGUUGGAUAUGCUGACUAUAAAUACACUGCAUCUCUUCAGAAAUGGCAGAAGCCAGAUGGCAGCAGUGGAUUGAUGCAGAGUGGAACCAAUUAUCUUAAUGAGAAGCAAAGUUGAAGUUACGUUUGGAGUUCAUUAGCCCCAGAAAUAUGAGAUCUAUGUCAUUCAAGACAUAAGAUAUGAAGAUCCAUCAUAGGAUCCAUCACAGGCACAGCAAACUGGGAUGUGGGAGUUAACAGAUAAUGGAAGAAAAAAAUGAAAAGAAGAGGAAAGAAAAGAAAAGGAAAAAAUAAUGACCCAAUAUAGCAUUCUAUAGAUGGAAUUUAUCUAACUCUUAUUAAAUAGAGUGAUAGGUAUUAGAGUACUAUGAAUAGGGGAUAUUACCUUAUUUUUUGUUCUAAUCCACAGUCAUUCCAUAUGAGAAAUUACAUCCUCUGUGGGCCACUGUCAGUGCCUGUUGUGAAUUUCCCACUAUGAAUGGGCUCAAGCAUGUCAGUAAUAUUCUGCUCUAAUAUAUAAGGUAUGGCCUAAGCAAAGGAGCAGCAAAGAUUGAGCAUGACUGUCCUCACCAUUACCCUCCCCUUGAGAGUAGAUGAGACAGGAUAAUGGCCUAAAACACAAAUGUGUUCACAAUUAUUUUAAAUACGCUAUGUAGUAUUUUUAAAGACUGUAAAACAGGUAACUUUUCCUGAGAGACUUUGUAUGAUUCCUUUGGUUGGCAGGACUAUUCAGAUCUAGUCUUACAGGAGAUGAAAUGGUAUUUCCUUGAGUAUUUUUGUUGUUAGUAGUG